rnacentral:tRNA from 1 species
GACCUUGUGGCCUAACGGAUAAGGUGUCUGACUACAGAUCAGAAGAUUGCAGGUUCGAGUCCUGCCAGGGUCG